rnacentral:piRNA from 2 species
GACCAAUGAUGAGACAGUGUUUAUGAAC